rnacentral:snoRNA from 1 species
ACUCCUGUUCUUGGCAGGCCCCGGCCGCCCCGUGCCCGGGUCUGUGAUGUCUGGAGGUAGAGCAGAGACUCUGUCACAG